GUUGAACCCAGAAUGUGUUCCUGAGCAGCGACAGUUUAAAAUCUACUGAUGUCCUGCAGUAACAAUUAGCACCAGAGUUAGCAUCACUCACCAGAGAAAUGUCCGUUUGGAAGAGCAACCGUUCAGACCAGUGACAUAAGGAUGACGGGACGACGCACCACAUGCCGGACUGAAGGGUUAAAAUGAUCAUCAGUCAUAUUUAAUCAYUCGGGGCUCAACGCUCGGGAAGAGCGAGGCGGAUGUCGCAGUCGGACGACGAGGAAGCGACGGCGGCGGCGCAUCAGACCGUCACUUCCUGAAACCACGAAAACCGGGAAAAAUGAUGAAAGUGCGCCAAG